rnacentral:lncRNA from 1 species
GUAUCUAGUUCUAUAGCUUAACCCUGACUUUUACGAUGUAAGGGCAGAACGUAAUAGUAAUAAAGGAAAAGCAAGGUGUGGCGGUAAGUCAAAACUUUUUGGUCUCCAUGUUCCGGUCCCGGAAGAAGCUUAUUUUUAUCGCUAUAAGGCAUAAGUAGUGAAAGAAGUAGACCUAUAAAGAGAAAAGGAAGCGCUAUCCCUCCUACUUAUGAUUCAACAUUUAGCCUUAAACUACUUAGUUAGAGAUUGUUUGUUAUUGCUUAUGCCUCAGCAGAGAAGUACAGUUCUGCUCUCCUCUCUUUCUCUUACGUAUCUAGUUCUAUAGCUUAACCCUGACUUUUACGAUGUAAGGGUAGAACGUAAUGGUAAUAAAGGAAAAGCAUGGUGUGGCGGUAAGCCAAAACUCUUUGGUCUCCAUGUUUCGGUCCCGGAAGAAGCUUAUUUUGCUAUAAGGCAUAAGUAGUGAAAGAAGUAGACCUAUAAAGAGAAAAGGAAGCGCUAUCCCUCCUACGUAUGAUUCAAUAUUUAACUCGAUCUAUUCUAGAUGUCUUUUUUACAUUAAUGGCAUUAGC